rnacentral:rRNA from 1 species
AGAGUUUGAUCCUGGCUCAGAUUGAACGCUGGCGGAAUGCUUUACACAUGCAAGUCGAGCGGCAGCGCGGGGGCAACCCUGGCGGCGAGCGGCGAACGGGUGAGUAAUACAUCGGAACGUACCCAGUAAUGGGGGAUAACUAACCGAAAGGUUAGCUAAUACCGCAUACGCCCUGAGGGGGAAAGCGGGGGAUCGCAAGACCUCGCGUUAUUGGAGCGGCCGAUGUCGGAUUAGCUAGUUGGUAGGGUAAAGGCCUACCAAGGCGACGAUCCGUAGCGGGUCUGAGAGGACGGCCCGCCACACUGGGACUGAGACACGGCCCAGACUCCUACGGGAGGCAGCAGUGGGGAAUUUUGGACAAUGGGGGCAACCCUGAUCCAGCCACUCCGCGUGAGUGAAGAAGGCCUUCGGGUUGUAAAGCUCUUUCGGCAGGAACGAAACGGCGCGCUCUAACAUAGCGUGUCAAUGACGGUACCUGAAGAAGAAGCACCGGCUAACUACGUGCCAGCAGCCGCGGUAAUACGUAGGGUGCGAGCGUUAAUCGGAAUUACUGGGCGUAAAGCGUGCGCAGGCGGUUUUGUAAGACAGAUGUGAAAUCCCCGGGCUCAACCUGGGAACUGCGUUUGUGACUGCAAGACUCGAGUGUGGCAGAGGGGGGUGGAAUUCCACGUGUAGCAGUGAAAUGCGUAGAGAUGUGGAGGAACACCGAUGGCGAAGGCAGCCCCCUGGGUCAACACUGACGCUCAUGCACGAAAGCGUGGGUAGCAAACAGGAUUAGAUACCCUGGUAGUCCACGCCCUAAACGAUGCGAACUAGGUGUUGGGGAAGGAGACUUUCUUAGUACCGCAGCUAACGCGUGAAGUUCGCCGCCUGGGGAGUACGGUCGCAAGAUUAAAACUCAAAGGAAUUGAUGG